rnacentral:rRNA from 1 species
AGAGGUGGCAAGCGUUGUUCGGAAUUACUGGGCGUAAAGGGCGCGUAGGCGGCCUUCUAAGUCGGACGUGAAAGCCCCAGGCUUAACCUGGGAACUGCGUCCGAUACUGGGAGGCUUGGAUUCGGGAGAGGGAUGUGGAAUUCCAGGUGUAGCGGUGAAAUGCGUAGAUAUCUGGAGGAACACCGGUGGCGAAGGCGGCAUCCUGGACCGAGAUCGACGCUGAGGCGCGAAAGCUAGGGGAGCAAACGGGAUUAGAUACCCCGGUAGUCCCAGCCCUAAACGAUGAGUGCUUGGUGUGGCGGGUAUCGAUCCCUGCCGUGCCGAAGCUAACGCAUUAAGCACUCCGCCUGGGGAGUACGGUCGCAAGGCUG